rnacentral:rRNA from 1 species
GGAUGCGAUCAUACCAGCACUAAACCACC